CUCACAUGAUUAUAUCAUAAUAACUUUUAAACAGGUAGAAUUCUUCCAUCAUAGAAAGGUGCAGUUUUCCUCUGCAGUCCGUCCUCCAGUGUAAUCAGAAGCACACCACAGAUGCCCACUAUGACCAAUUAAGGGCCCGGUAAUUGGUCAGAUCGCGCCUCUCCGGGUCCACGUGCGCGUUUUCUAAUUAAAUCAACGCCUUAACUGAGACACAGCGCGCGUUUAAAUCCAAACAGUGCCGGUAUGCAGGAGGGGAGAGACGAGCGAGGACGUUACGGGCCGCGGGGAUACAAACACGAGCGCUGUUCCUCGCAACAAUGACCCCUUGUAUCCCCCGCCAUGCGACACACUGGCCCCCCAAUCCAAAAAUCACCACUUUUUUUCCACAUUAACCAUGAAUGUUGACUCUGAUAAGGGAAUCCUAACCAUGAGUGCAUCUCUCUGUCCGAUGCUCUGGCUCCUUUCCUUCCUUCUUUCCCCUCCUUUCUUUGCGCCCUUUGUUUUUUUUUUUUUUUAUCACAGGUGAAUUGUAAUCAUGUGAUCAAAACGAGCGAACCCUAACCCCCAUUAAAUGAAAAAAGAAAGCCGUUGUGUGCGUAUGAAAAAGGAAAAUGAGGGGGGAAAGUCGUGUGUCUUCCAUUCCAGCAUCGCUCCGUGUCUGUAAACUAUGACAUAUAAAGCAAAAUGCUCCGGGAGCGCGGGGAGCGCAUCUCGGGGAGCCGCGGUGCGACAGUCCGGCUCCUGGAGCUGAAACCGAGGAGCUCCAGGGAGCCGCUCCGGGGAUUUCCUUCCUUCCCGCUGUGCAGCUGACAAUUUGCGGCCCAGUUUCGGUUUGACAGGCCCCCUCCCCUCAAGCCAUAGGAGCCGAAGGCCCCACACCAACAACAUCCUGGUCGACCUGCUGCUCCUGCGUUCCCUGAGAUUAAAUGAUUGUUUUUGUCAAUGGAGUCUGGUGGCUUUUAGGAGAUAGAACAAAAACAGCUUCGUCUGAGAAUGCAGCCUGAGAGCAAAGGAAAGCCACAAUAAUACUGUAAAUAUAGUAAUUUACACUCACUGUGGAUACGUUUGCUUAAUACUGGACUUUCUGCCGUUUUAAUUCAUGCUGCUCCACCGCACACAGACUCCCACACUCAUAACUCAGACCUGAACACCUGCUAUUACAGCUAUAGAUACUCUCCCCAGAAGACAUUUUAACUGGGUAAUGUAAUGCACAGGUGGAAUUAACAAUGCCUCAGGCCCAUUAAGCGUCCCAACAGACCCUAUCAGUGAACCGGGCUGCACAAAAGCCACGCCGUGAAUGCACCCACCACCGGUUCCCUCCAUUCAAGAACCGGUGAUGACUGGAGCUCGGCCAGCAGAGGGCACCGGCCUCCACCUCAUCAGCAGCAGCUCGGCCCGUCUUCAUCCUUCAGUCUUGUAGAUCUUGGUGUCCAAAUCUAAAAUGGGAUCCGUUGCAGCUCUUAGCCUCGGCCUUUCCAAGGAUCUGCUUGCUGUAAAUAUCCCUGAGCUGAAUCUGACUCACCCCGCCAAGCCAACUUAACAAACCUCACAGUCUCACAGGCCAUUUUGAGUCGAGUUGUUUGUGUGAGGCUGUGAGUUACAAGCUGCCGCAAAUCCCUCACCUGUGGCAUCUACUUGUUCCCAUGACACCAAAGAUCGGCGGUAAAGGGCACAGGUGGGAGGAUGGACUCUGCACUGAUGCAAAACAUUAGGUUUUACGAUGUUGGUCGGGUUUAGUCCAUGGAGAAGAGGCCUGCAGGACACACAAAAAGGGCAACAAAAUCAAUGAGCCGUGGUUGAUCGUCGUAUAAAUGCACAACCAAAUGUUAUGUAUUGUUUUAGCCAGCGAAAGAUGUGGGUUAAGACUUUUGAAUCUGAAAAAUAUCUUAUUCACAGUUCACCUGUUACCACUGUUCAUCCAAUUCUUUAUUUCUAAAUGACUAAUGGGGGGUUAGAUUUUAAUAGGAGCAUUAAAACAUCACGUAGGCGUUGCCCAUCGCAAACUCUCAUGACUGGAGUCUGUUAAUGACCAGAUACUUACCUGUAGUCGAGAGUUAUGAUCCUGUUUUCUUUCCCCGCUGAAUGAUACUCAAACCACCCAUUAUCGGCCAAACUGUGUUGUAAAUUGAUGGCUCCACCUCCCCUGUUUAAAUUUUCAAAUUUGCUCAUUGGGCAACACCUGCACAUGUUCCUUUUUAAUUUCCAACCCCCCACCGGCCUUUUACAAAUGAAGAAGCUACUUGGAUGAAACAUCUUUGAGAACUCUACAAGUACCGUUGUCCUUAUUUCAGCUUGUCUUUUGGACACUUCAUCUUCAUGCUGAUGUGUUUAUAUAGACAAAACCGAGCAAUGAACCAAAUGCUGCAAACUAGUUCACCAGUCAGUCUACUCACAAAGAGAUUAAAUAAAUAGUGCAGAUUUUUUUGAGGGUGCGUUUUAUCAUGGCAGGUCCAUAAUCAGUGUAGGUUAAAGUAAUUAAUUAUGACCACCUUCCUGAUAUUGUGUAGGUCUAUCUUGUGCCUCCAAAGUAGUUGUGGCUCAUUAGAGAAUAGACAUGAGUCUUCUGAGGGUGUCUUGUGUUGUCUGGUAACAUGGUGUUAUUAGUCAGGGGGUCUUUGAGCUCUUUGGGAUCAUCAGUUUGGGAUCUAGUGAGUUUUGAGUUGUUCCUGAAGUGUUUUUGUGUGUGUCUGUGUCAGGCUGCAUCCUGC